rnacentral:rRNA from 1 species
ACAUACGACCACAGCCGCCAUGAAAAUCUGGAUCCCGUUUGAUCUCCGAAGAGAAUCUGGCGAGCGCUGGAUUAGUAGCUGGAUCGGUGACGACCAGCGAAUACCCAGUGUUGUAUGUU